AUAUUAAUGAAUAGUGUCCAGGAGGACACAGGUAAAUGUUGGAGAAUCACUCUUGUUUUUUUUUUUUUUCUUCAAUCCUGUCAAAUGGUCAUCUCAUUGGAGGGAAUGUCCAAAGCCUGGACCAAAAAAAAAAGAGUCCAAAACCUCAGUGCUGGGGAACUUCCACUGAGGCACCUGGAGCAGUGCAGGAGGGUCUGCCUCGGCGUCAUCUUCACCUCCCCUCCCACCCAGCCUGCCCCUGGGCCCCUGUGAGCUCCUAUCAGAUGCCCCCUGUUGGGGGCUGAUGCUCCUUGAGACCAGAAAGCACUGGCCAGAGCCUUACUUCCACUGCAGGGAGAUACACUGGGGCUCAAGUUCACUCACCAAGUCCUCCACCUGUGCGGGGCAGAGGACCAGAGCUGCGCCCUGAGGCAGCCGGAUCUUCUCCUGGAGCAAACAGACUGGGAGCAAAUAUGCCAAAAUAUCAGUGACGGCCGAUUCUGGGUGGUGGAAAUAGGUGAGUCCCACGUUGUAUAUCAGGUGCUGGGCCAGGAGAGGGGAGGGAGGAGGCUCCUGAGGCUGGACCUGGCCACGCUGUGCCCAGGAUGGGAGCAACACAGCCCGCAGAGGGUGCAGGAGAACUAGCGGGCCUUCUCGACAGCGAUGGAGCUCAAGGCUCCCAUGCACCUGGUCACGCGUCUGCCCGUGGGACCUCAGCACAGGGCGCCAUGGUGAGAGCAGCAGGUGGAAUUCAAAGCAGCCCACAGCACCCCCAGGUGACCGUGCCUGGGCUGACCUGCUGGAGGAGAGGCAACCACAUGCGGCAGAGCUGAGCCAUCCUUCUGGCCAGUUCAGACCUGCCAGUCCCAGUCAAACCUCUGGAAACAGCUAAGACUGGCCCAGAUCAACAGAACAGUCCAGCCAACCCAUGGUCUUGGGAGAAGUGAUGAUGGUUGGUUUAAGCUCCUAAAAUUUAGAUUGCUAUGUAGCCAUAGCUAACUAAUUCAGGUAUAUUUGCUUUCUCUCAUAUUUGUCUAUGGGUUUUCUUUGCAUGGUUCUGAUUAUACACAGUUGGAUAACUUGCUAUUUUUCAUUUAACUUUAUAUUCAAAGUAUGUUCCCUUGUAAGUACAUGUUUUUACGACCCUCAUUUUAAUAAUUCAAGAAUAAAUGUUUAAAACUAGGGAUUGGCAAACCACGGCCCCUGGGGCAAAUCCAGCCCAUCACCUGUUCUUAUAAAUAAAGUUUUAUUGGAACACAGCAUUGCCCACACCUAUGGGUGCUUUAUUUCUAAAAAAUAUUUAU